ensembl:lncRNA
AUUUGAAAGAUCAAAUGGUUUUACUUAAUUAUAUUAAUCACAUCAGGUUUGUAAGUAAAAAUUACUCAAUAAAAUUUAGCAGUUUGAGUUAAAUGUACUCAUUCACUAUGUUCAUUUUACUCAUCUUACUUAAGUAGAUUUACUUAAUUUCCACAUGUGUGAAAUUUACUUAAAAAAUAUUUGUGCAAAAACUUGCAAAAUAAAAAUUCUACAACUUUUAAUGCCGACUGAAAACACUGACUGAGCUCAAAUAACAUUCAUAUCGGCCUGACAGUAUGUUUCCCGGCUUCACAGAAAAUUAAAUUUGUAAUGUAUUUGGAGACGUUAAAAGGAGUGAAAAGUCCCAAAGCAAAAUUUUUGUGUACUUCAUUAGAGGACUUUGGUUUCAUAAUGUGAAAACUUCUUACUCCUCUACUUUUCUUUGUCUUUAUAUUUAGUUAGUUAUUUUUCUUAAGUGUUUUUAAUUUAUUUUAUGCUUAUUUUGUUAUAUGAUGUACAGAGUGUGACAGAAAAUUGAGUGUAAUCUCAGUCAUUAUUUGUAUAUCUCCCAGUUAUGCCUUUCUGUGUUAAUGUAAAAGCAUUGAAAAAAAAAAUAUAAAUAAAAAAUAAAAAAUUCGUACAAAAGAAGAUGUUUCUCCAUUUAAACAGCCAGAAUCGAUUCUAUACGGAAUAUUAAAGUGUUUCAUAGGAACUAAGCCAUGAUUUUCGUGUAGCUGCUUCAUAGAAAGCCGGUGGAUUUUGUGAAUCUGUGUAAAUAAGAGUCAGUGAUGGAGAUCAGAUUCUGUUUCAUCAUGGAGGACACACAAACAUCCACAGAUCAAGAGUGUUCUCCAGGAUGCAGUUCAGUUCAUCAGAAGAGAUCAGGAGCAGAGUCCAGCUGUGUGUCUGUGAGGAGUGACCAGUCUAUGGAUCCUCCAGUAAAGUUUAAGAGUGGAGAUACAAAGACUGAUCUCAGGUACAGUAUUACAUAAAUAUUUUUAUAGCAUGUCAUUUUAUAUUAUCAAAACAGUGUCUUUACUUUCUACAAUAUGGGAAAUUCUUCUUGUACAUUGCUAAUAGCUUUUUUUCUAUCUUAAUCUGAUAUUUAACAUACAGUCAAACCAAAAAUUAUUCAGACACCAGAUAUCAUUUUUAUAAUUUUUUUUUUACUAGUGGGUGCAGAACACUAUACUACAUUUAUGUAAAUGAGGAUGGCAAAAUAAAGUAAACUGUAUAUUUUACCCA